AAUAGAUACCCAGGUAGUCCACGCCGUAAACGAUGAGUGCUAAGUGUUAGAGGGUUUCCGCCCUUUAGUGCUGCAGCUAACGCAUUAAGCACUCCGCCUGGGGAGUACGGCCGCAAGGCUGAAACUCAAAGGAAUUGACGGGGGCCCGCACAAGCGGUGGAGCAUGUGGUUUAAUUCGAAGCAACGCGAAGAACCUUACCAGGUCUUGACAUCCUCUGCCAACCCUAGAGAUAGGGCGUUCCCCUUCGGGGGACAGAGUGACAGGUGGUGCAUGGUUGUCGUCAGCUCGUGUCGUGAGAUGUUGGGUUAAGUCCCGCAACGAGCGCAACCCUUGAUCUUAGUUGCCAGCAUUCAGUUGGGCACUCUAAGGUGACUGCCGGUGACAAACCGGAGGAAGGUGGGGAUGACGUCAAAUCAUCAUGCCCCUUAUGACCUGGGCUACACACGUGCUACAAUGGAUGGUACAAAGAGCUGCGAACCCGCGAGGGUAAGCGAAUCUCAUAAAGCCAUUCUCAGUUCGGAUUGGUA
rnacentral:rRNA from 1 species